CGAGGACCUGAGCAUUCCAGGUCCACAAAAUCAGAGGACAGCUAUCCCUUUGUGGCCCAGCCUGCUCAGGGCUAGCCUGUCCCAGAGCACCUAUGGAGAGGCUAUGACCCAAGGCCCCAAAUCCUGAGGACAGGAGAAUCUCCAACCCAGAGGAAGGACAAUGCCAUGUUGUGGAAGGAGCUUGGGGUGGAUCAGGGGUCUCCCAAGACCCACAGGAGCUUCGGGUGGAUCAGGGGACUCCAGCAUAAUAGGGGACGCUAGGAAGCUGGGUGGGGGUGCUAGAGUCAGAGGAGAAACCACAGCCACCUGGAUGUCACAGAAGACUUUUGGUUCUAGGCCCCAGAAUAGACCUGGGACUUGUGUGUGUCUUUGAUGACUCCCGCACUGUCCACCCCAGGACGGCAUUCUUUACUCCCUGAAGCUCCAGCGGUUCUCAACUUCUCCAACAUCCACACUGUUCAAGAGGCGCAGUCCUAAAUAACAGCUGCUUUCCCCAAAACAUGGGCUCCCACCCCAUGCCCAAGAAGACCCUUAGCUUCAUGCAAGAUUCCAAUCACUUUCUUUAAAAUAAAGAAAUCUGGCAGGGCAGUGCCUGUGGUUCAGUGAGUAGGGUGCCGGCCCCAUACACCGAGGGUGGCAGGUUCAAACCCGGCCCCACCCAAACUACAACAAAAAAAUAGCCAGACAUUGUGACGGGUGCCUGUAGUCCCAGCUACUCGGGAGGCUGAGGCAAGAGAAUUGCCUAAACCCAGGAGGUGGAGGUUGCUGUGAGCUGUGCGACGCCUCGGCACUCUACCAAGGGCGACAGCAUGAGGCUCUGUCUCUAUUAAAAAAAAAAAAAAGAAAGAAAAGAAAGAAAAAAAAAGAAAUCUGGGGGAAAAAAAUGUGCCCCAACACAUCUGCACACCCUCAGAUCAUAGGACAUGGCUCAGAGCCCCUGGGUGGGAAAGAAGGAUCCUGUUUCCAUCUUAAACACAUCCCAGGGAACACACUGGAUUCUGCCCCUUGUUCCGGGAACCUCCCCAUUUCUCCCCCCAACACUCUGCUCUGCCCUGGACCCAGCUGGGCUCUAGGCACUGACAGCCUGGGUUUGAACUCUGAUCCAUCACCUCCCAACUGUGGGUGUCCAGACAAGUUACUCACUGUCCCCUUGUCUAUACUACCGGGCCAUUUGCUAACAGCACUCAGCACAGGGCCCAAACGCUCCACACAUUGGAGUUGAGGUUUGUACCACUGUCCUCUCUCCCCGCCACCCCAUCCUUUCCCACUUUCUCCACUAUCUUGCCAUAUGUGGCUCCAACCAGAGCCCGUGACCUCUUGACUACAGGCAGGCCCUGGUGGGCAGUCUGGGCUAACGCUCACUAUUCUUUCAGUCUCAGCUCAGGCUCCCAAAAGGAAGCUUUCUCUGUCACAGGCUUCACAGGCGUCCACAGCUUCAUUCAUCAUGGCCUGUUCACCUGACUGCAAAUACUGAGGUCAGGGCGCUGCCCUUCAUCUCUGUCCCCAGUGCCUGACACACAGGUAUUGAUCCAUUUAGCAAAUAUUUAUUGAAUAUCGAGUCCUCACUGUGUCAUCCUACAUCAGGACAUCAUUUUUCCCAGGAUCCUCCUCGGGACAGUCUCACUGGUCAUCCUACUUGGAGAUCUUACACAAAGGGUUGGGGAGAUGAUCAAGAGUCUGGGGACUUGGCUUGGUGCCUGUAGUUCAGUGGUUAGGGCACUGGCCACGUGCACAGGGCUGGUGGGUUCAAACCCAGCCAGAACUUGCUAAACAAUAACAACAAUACCAAAAAAAUAGCCGAGUGUUGUGGUGGGUGCCUGUAGUCCCAGCUACUUGGGAGACUGAGGCAAGAGAAUUGCUUAAGCCCAAGAGUUUGACGUUGCUGUGAGCUGUGAUGCUACAGCACUUACCGAGGGUGACAUAGUGAGACUCUGUCUCAAAAAAAAAAAAAAAAAAAGAGUCUGGGGACUUAAAAGGUGGGGAGGAGACUACAGGGCAGGGCUGGGUGGCAGCAACUCUGGUGAAUGACAUGGCCUUGUGUUCCUUAUUUUCUGCCAGGUCCUGACUUUAGCUCUUCCUCCUUCUACCCGCAAGCCCACAGCUUAGUCACAUUGUGUUGCCUCCUGCCCCUGGGCUCCCUUCCUGCCCCUGCUUGCAGGUCCAGCCUGGGGUUAGGCCCUGCGCCCUUCCCCUGUGUGAUUCAGGUCCCCGGGAGGCAUUUCAUACUGGAUCCCAGGGAUGAGAUGUCUAGAUUUUGCUCAACCCAUCCUAGGGUCUUCUCACUACUAAGAAAUCCUUGCUGGACUCUAAAACACAACUUUCUUGCUUAAGUUACUUCCUUUGGCUCGAAAACAGGGAGGGGAGUGCUGGGAGCAGGCUGGGCAGAGAGGCAACUUCAAGGAGACAGCGGGGGAGGAGAGGACCAGGCUGGAUCUGGGCCUGGAGGCGCAGGCUGGCCCUGGCUAGAAGAGGAGGGCCCAGGAGGGCUGCUAAUGAUUGGGAAAUGCAGAGGGGAAUGGGAAGCAAAAGUGCCAGAAUACAGGGGGCCCAAGGCCAGAUAAUCUGACACCCUGUGGGUCAGAAGGCCAAGUAGGGGGUGGGAGUGGCUUUCGCCCAAGUCUGGAAGUGUUCUGUGGGCAUGGGUGGGAGGCUGGGAGGUCCUGAGGAGACAGCUCCCCUUCCAGUGGUGGGGCCCCUUCAUCAUGGGCUCAGAGGGCUGUGGUCUGCCCUUCUUGCCCCCCCUCUAGGCAAAUCACCACCCCAUUUCCUGUGGUGAUUUUAAAAACACACACACACACACACACACACACACACACGCACGCACACAUGACGGGAAAAGUGAAGUUAGCCAUUUAGCAAGCUGGACUUAGGGACCCAUUUCGCAACCUUGUUGCCUGUAGCCUAGGGGGCCUUUCCAGACAUCCCUGCCCACCUCCUUCAUCUCCAGGCAGCAGGGUGCAGGGGGGGAAACACUAGCAUCUCCCAGGGCCCCUCUGGACCAUACUCUCACACACAAUCCAAAAUCGGUAAGCAACUUCAGCGAACCUAUUUCCUUUAAGGCCUCUAUCUGCAACCUCACAACCUCCCCUCCUCAUUACACACGCCAGGGCCCCGGCUCCUGCAGUUUGCCUCACUCCCUCUGCAAUGGAAAUAUCCUCAAAGCUGAAGGGAAUCAGGCUCAGAGGUGCUUGGCUUAGGAGAGGCAGGGCUGGGCUGGGCUGGGCUGGGCUGGGGUUGGGGGUCGGUACCACCAACCCUGAGCAGGGGCAGUCCUGCAGGACAGGAUGGGGCUGGAGUUCCUUGAGAGAGUGGUCAGAGGUGGGGCAGGCCAGGUCCCUGGCUCUGGGACUACCAGGUCUGUGACCCCUCUGAGCCUCCAUUUCCAGAAUUUAAGUCUUUUGUGUAUCACUUUCAAAAUGCUCACCAUGUUUAUGUAUAGCUGUGCUAUUAUUUACUUACUGAGUCCUUCAAAUCUCUUUUCUUAAUUUGCUGCAUUCUAAAUAAUUUACAAAACCAUAGAUUUGAUAUGCUAGCUGUUGGAGUUACAAAGAAAAGCCUGUCCGUGUACCACCUAAAGUCAAGGUGUAAAUGCUCUGGGAAAGGUAAGAUUGAAAAUCAGGGGGCUGAUAAUGGAAGUGAUUGGUGGAAUGUGGAAAUGGCGGCUGCAGUCAAGGGGGCGGUCGGAAAGCAGCAGUGGAGUCUGAUGGACUUUCACUAUCUUCAGAAUUUGGUUUUAGCCCGGUGCUCUGAGCUGAGGAAAUUUCCACUCUUACUCUGCUCCACACCCAGGGCGUCGCACCUCUUGUCUCGUUGCUGCAGCCAGCGCCUACUUAAUGGGCACAGCUGCGAUGGAGAGUCCGAGCCUGGGGGACCAAGGAGCUGCCCCCGCGAUCACCUUUAGUGAGUGCCUGAGCCCAGACUGGCAGUGUGACCUUUGCAAAGAAGACGUUGCCGUGGGAUUGGAAAGAGUAGAAGAUGAGAAACAAAUGAUGAUAAAAAGGAGUAGGGAGUGUAAUCCCCUGCUACAAGGACCCAUUGCUUCUACAUUGGAUGGUACUGCAGUGAGAGAAAGCCAUAAGUCUGUCCCAUGUGGAUGGGAAAGAGGUGUGAAGCAAAAGUUAUGUGGGAAAACAGCAGGAAGAUUUGAUGUAUACUAUAUCAGACCACAAGGACUGAAGUUCAGAUGCAAAAGUUCACUUGCUAAUUAUCUUCACAAAAAUGGAGAGAUGUCCCUUAAGCCAGAAGAUUUUGACUUCUCAGUACCUUCUAAAAGGGUCAUCAAAUCAAAAUAUAAAGCCUGCAGCAUGGCAAUUCUGACAUCCUAACUGCAAAAUGAAAAUAAAAAUUCAAACUGGAACAUCAGGACACGAAGCAGGUGCAAAAAAGAUGUGUUUCCUCUGCCAAAUAGUAGUUUGGAGUUGCAGGACAGCAGAGGACUAUAUAACUUUACUUCUACAGAUUUGCUUUCGGAAGAAGAUAAGGGCAUUAAUGAUGUUAACUUCAGAAAAGUUAGAAAGCCCAAAGGAAAGGAGAUUAUUUCGAAAGGAAUCCCACUUAAGAAAACUAAAAGAGGAUGCAGGAAGAGUCUUUCAGGUUCCAUUCAAAGUAACAGAAAAAGAGAAUCUGUGUAUAAUACAGAAGAUGCUGAAAGUGAGCCUAUUGCACAGGAAAGUCAGCUUGAUAGAACUUUCUGCAUUUCUGACAGCAGAGCAAGUGACGAGGCCCUCAGCGUGACCAAUGAAGAGAAGAACCUUGCAAAAGAAAAAUCAUUGAGUUCAGGAUCAAAUUUUUAUUUUGAACAAAUAGAUUCUGGCAUCACAAACAAAUUAUGUUUGACUAAAGAAGCCGAACACAAAGAAGUAUGAGGAUACCUUAGUGUCUGAAGAAAUCAGAACAAAAGUAGAAGUUGGGGAAAGGAAGGAACAUUUCCCUACUGACAUUUUAAAAUGUGGCUCUGAAAUGGACAACAAUGGCUCACCAACCAAGAAGGACUUUACUUCUGAGGAAAUAUUUCAAGGUACACUGUGCCUUAAAGCAGUAUUAAACAUUAUGUGAAGGAGUUUGUACUCCUGGAUCUUGUAUUUCAUGGCUGUACAUGGUUAAGAUACAGGAAUAGAACCAAGAAAUAGGGCCUAAAACCAGACAUUUACCAGUUGAGCCUAAUACCUUAUCUAACUGAUCUUCAAGCCCUUUCCUGUGAUAGAAAAUCAGUGGGCCGCUGGUAUAAUGCCCCAGCAAAGCUCCCUGGUGUAAUAGUUGGGCCUUUCCUCCCUAGUGUGCUUUCGCUUCUUUCCCUCCUUUUUCCAGUCAGUAAUCUUAAGACUAUAAGGAAAAUUAAAAGGCUUUACUUGUCAAAAAAGAAAGAAAAAGUCAGGGGGCUGCUCUCGGUACUCACUAAGGGUCUUCCCUUCUUUUGGGGUUCCCACAUCCCAUUCACCUGCCUUGGAAGGGAGCCCGCAAAAAAGGAGAGGCUCUGGGGUACAAUCCCAGGUGGGACAGGAAGAGACAACCCACCUGGACCCAAGUGAGGGAAGAUGCUGGGGUGGGGGCAGGAAGGGUCAGCAAGGCCUUCCAGGGGCCUCAGGGGAUCUUGGAACUCAGAGCAGGUCUGACUCACGUGUCCCAGGAACCAUGUGAACCAGGCUCACUUCCUGGCCUCCUUCCUUCUUUCUUUUCUAUUUCUGUUUCCAGAGUUCUCUCUGGGGCAGGCUCCCCCUGCUCCCCCAUGAGCAGGCUGGACUCACUGGGCCCAACACCUCUUGGUUUUCAGACUCCUCCCUCUGUGCCCACCCCUCCUACAUGGGGCUGAGCCCCAGGGUUCCCACAGAGGUCACAGUCACAAUAAAGAAUGGGAGGAUUGCAGGGAGGCCUGCCCCAGAGGGCAGAGAGAAAGCAGGAGAAAGCAGUAGCCUUUCUUCUUCAUCCUCCUUGGGGAGCUAAUUACAGGCCAGCAGGCACUGCCAGGUGAGCGCCUGGGACUAGCCACCCCACACACCAGGGCAGGCCAGCCAGCCUCUCCUGGGGACAGCAAUGACCUGGAGACGGGGAGGGUACUAGCAGAGAGACACUUUAGACAUCCUCAGCUCAGGGCCCAUAAUUAGUUUGUGGGAUGAGAGAAAAACAACCAUCCUCAGGGUGAUAGCCAGACAUUCAGGCGGCAGGGGUGUGGGGCGGGGGAGGGCAGAGAGGAAGGGACAGAAGCUGGGGCAAGAGGAACCUACUCAUUUGCCCCACAAGCAUUUCCCCCCAGAAUCUUGGACUCUUCCAGCCUCCUGGACUCUGCCCCAGAGGGGCCCAAUGCGUCUAGCAGACUGGGAGGCAAGACAAAUCUAUUUGCCAAGGGAGGGGUACCUGUCAGUUAUUUCCUGCUUCUCCUGCAGGGGAAAUCAGGUAAGGGGACCUGGCCAGAGCAGAAGUUGAGAAGCUUCCCACCAGGUAGCCAGGAGUCACCCACCUACAAGCCCAUGGUAUGGCCCUGAGGCAGUGCUGGAGCUGUUAGUCCACACAAGCCUGUUGGGGAGGGCAGUGGACCAGGAGCAGGGGGAGGGCAGCUGCACCAUGGAGUCUUGUCCCAAUCCCACGCUACUGCGCAGGGGAUUCCCUGAGCGGCCCACUCCUUACGAGCUCAGUCAACCAGACUUGGCAGCCUCCAGGCAGCACCCCAAGGAGGAACACAUCUGAUCCCAGGUGAGCCAUGCUCUGGAGGAGAGGGAGUCCCAGAUGUGGCCCACAUGAUGAAGCAGCAGAGGGGUAGGGCUCUUAAGACCUCCCCACCAUCCCUGGACACCCCCCCAACCCUUUCUUAGAAUGUGACCUCCUGCGACCUCUGUUUCUGUGUGGGUCAUCAAGGGGGCUGAAUAAAGGAAUCUGAAGAUCUUCUAGAGGGGCCCAUGAUUCACAUCCUGAAACCUCAAACAUGUGCUGUCCCUUUACAAGCUCAGAAGCAUUAUGCAGAUUAGGAACCAAGGCAGAGAUGGGGAGCUUUGGUUUACUCAAAGUCACAGAUCAAGUAAUUCUCCCCCACGGGGUCAGAUCAGCUACAGGCCAGCUCCUUCCCCUCAGCCCUGUGGUGCAUUUUGUGAUGAUGCCCAAUUCUGACUUCAAAGCUAUUAGGGUUUUGUGCUUGUUUGUGUGACCACAUGAGGUGAGUGGGACUGUUCCAGGCAUGGAUCUACACCCAGCCAUGCUGUUGCCCUGGCAGGGGUGACACCUCCCACCCCUGAGACAGGAAAGUACAGCCCAGGGAGGGAGCUCACAUGGGGACAUCCAGGAUACCCUGACACACAUUCAUCACCACAAAGCCCCACAGAAAUAGGCCCCCAUGCAGGGGGAUUGCCCCCCACAGGGAAAUAGUGGACCUGACUGAAGACAGACUCAGGCAUUCCUGGGCCCACUCCCCUCACUCUUGGCUUCAGUUUAGCAGGGCUCUGCGGGCUCCAGCUCCUUCUUUCCCUGGUCCUGGUUCCCACCCCAUGGGAAAGUCCCUCUGUGGUCUAAUAAGUGUCACUCUCUCAGAGGAGGGACAGUCCCUGGUCUCUGGAGAUGGAUCAUUCAUUGGCUUCUCUGCCCUGGGCCAGAAAUGCAGGAGCCAUCAGAAACGUGCUCAGAGAGGGGAGGAAGCUCUGUGCUGGCCCCAAACAGGCUCUGUCGCGUCUCUAGCCCCUUGCCUUGGCAUUAGUCAGGGUACCCUGACCAGGCUCCUGCCCCAGACAGAGGUCGACCUUGCUAACUCUCUGCUCCUCUUCCAGACAGGGUCCCUCUUGCCCAUCUCCUCUGCCCUCCCCUGCCCCCCAAGCUGGGAGCAGA